CCAACCCAAAAGGCUACACAUUCUUACUCCUGAAGAAUAAAUUAUUUUCUCAUUACAGCUCUGAAUGUCUGCUUCAUUCAAGUGCACUUGAACUUUCCACUCCCGUGGUACUGGCCAGCUCCCAGAAAGCCAUUCCUAGGCACAUUUCACUUUCAGCAUUUUGAGAAGAGCAUUUUUAAAAGUUUUGUUCACACAGCCUACUUCAGGUAAAAUAUGGCUCAUCAAGUACAUAGGCUAGACUCACAAGACCACCAGAGAAUGUGAAGCACCAUUUCCAAGCUACCACAUGGUCACGGACCCCAGCAAAUCUAUUUUCUAGGGCAACAGCGAGCACAGAUAAACCAUCUGAGUGAUCCAGGAAAAGUUCUGUUACCUGGC
rnacentral:lncRNA from 1 species